rnacentral:rRNA from 1 species
AGAGUUUGAUCCUGGCUCGAGGAUGAACGCUGGCGGCGUGCUUAACACAUGCAAGUCGAACGGAGUUUUUAAACGGAAGUUUUCGGAUGGAAGUUUAAGAACUUAGUGGCGGACGGGUGAGUAACGCGUGGGUAACCUGCCUCAUACAGGGGGAUAACAGUUAGAAAUGACUGCUAACACCGCAUAAUAUAGUGAAACCGCAUGAUUUUUGCUAUCAAAUAUUUAUAGGUAUGAGAUGGGCCCGCGUCUGAUUAGCUAGUUGGUGGGGUAAAAGCCUACCAAGGCGACGAUCAGUAGCCGGCUUGAGAGAGUGACCGGCCACAUUGGGACUGAGACACGGCCCAAACUCCUACGGGAGGCAGCAGUGGGGAAUAUUGGACAAUGGGGGAAACCCUGAUCCAGCGAACCGCCGCGUGAGUGAAGAAGUAUUUCGGUAUGUAAAGCUCUAUCAGCAGGGAAGAUAAUGACAGUACCUGACUAAGAAGCCCCGGCUAACUACGUGCCAGCAGCGGC